AACGAACGCUGGCGGCAUGCCUAACACAUGCCAGUCGAACGAGACCUUCGGGUCUAGUGGCGCAUGGGUGCGUAACGCGUGGGAACCUGCCCUUAGGUUCGGAAUAACUCCCCGAAAGGGGUGCUAAUACCGGAUAAUGUCUUCGGACCGAAGAUUUAUCGCCUUUGGAUGGGCCCGCGUUGGAUUAGCUAGUUGGUAGGGUAAAAGCCUACCAAGGCGACGAUCCAUAGCUGGUCUGAGAGGAUGAUCAGCCACACUGGGACUGAGACACGGCCCAGAAUCCUACGGGAGGGAGCAGUGGGGAAUAUUGGACAAUGGGCGAAAGCCUGAUGCAGCAAUGCCGCGUGAGUGAUGAAGGCCUUAGGGUUGUAAAGCUCUUUUACCCGGGAUGAUAAUGACAGUACCGGGAGAAUAAGCUCCGGCUAACUCCGUG
rnacentral:rRNA from 1 species